UGUAAGGAAAAAUAUGUCAUUAUAUACAGAUCAACUGCUACUGAUGCAAUGACAGCUCUACCGUGAGUUUGUUGAAGGAGCAUGAACACAACACCCUGACCUUCCCUUUGAGUGUCUGCCUUGAUAAGCAUAUGCAAUAAUUAUAUCCAACAACUGCCAUGACCCACACACACACAUCUUUGGAAGCAUAGAGCCUCCUAAACUAACUUAUUUUUAAACCACAGGGAGACACUUCAGUUGCUAUACAGAACAGUCUUAAAUAACAUGACAAAGUUUAAAUAUAACUAAAGCUAAAUAGGGAAUGUGCUUCCAACUGUCCACUUUCUCGUCAACUGUAUCAGACAGCAGUAAAUUCCACUGUAUUCCUUUACCACAACUUAGAGAUUCGUCAAGACUUAGAAUUAACCGACCCACUUCAUCUCACAAAAAAAAAAAGUAAAAAUCAUCAAUUCCUUUCAGAAUACUUUUGAAAAACUACUUGAGCUCAUUUUCAUGUCCCAGUAAGUUUUCCCUUCAAGAGGGCAGAAUACUUGCAUCAUAUAGCUUUCUUUCAGGAAUUCCAACUAAAUCUGGUGCUUUCCAAAUUAAUUUUUUGCUUUAGCAUUUGUUUCAACAUGGUAUUUGGAUGUUUGCAGCCAUUAAAUACCAUUCAACUGCAGUACCUGGACAUCACAUCUGCCUUUCAGAACAAGACGUAUCCACUCCUACAACUGUAGCACCUUCUUACACCCGUAACAGCUGACAUUUUAGGACUGAAGUACUGAUCUAGGAGGUCUCCAUAUUGAUUUCUGUAUAAGAGGGCUGAAGUUAUCGAGUGAAGUUCUUUGAUGCUAAAGCAUGAAUACAGCUUUCUGGCAACUAUGCAUGAGCAAUGGUGUGAACAACUGCAGAGACUUCCAAGAUAAAUUUAUAAUCACAUUCAUUUAGUAAAUAUGGCUAUUUUUAAAACCUAAUCAACAAAACAGCUACAGUGGCAGUUUCUGCUCAACAUACAGAAGACUCAAAACAACACACGAUCUUCAGUUGCUUGUCUGGAGUUUGGAAAAUGCAAAAUUACUGAACACAGACUAAACAGAUGUGGUUGUGUAUAGUGGAGGUUGCCAACCUUUUAUCUGCAUUUAACCUAGUUAUGAAAACUAAGGUAUUCCACUACUUCUGCAGUACAUUCUAAAACUACAUGCCUUGCAUACUUAAAUCAAUUUUGGUAUCAGCAAGAAUCAGCUUCAUUUGGAUAAGGACAAUUUCAAUAGAUGCUGAUCUCAUCAGCCCUUGCCCAAAGCCUCAUUUAUACCAAUUGAGGUGAAGCAGGCACAGGAUUGUUCCCCUUUCACAACACCAUUUGUCUUGUUUUCAGGACCUUUGGUUGAUUUGAAGUCAAAAGCAUUACAUUAAAUGAUUUUACAAUCAGAGGUCAAGCCUUUCAGAUGUCCUAGAAAUAAAUAAAUCUAACAUUCAGGCAGUAAAUUAAAAGUGGAAUGUCUUACCUUCAGGAAUUGUCAUGGUUAUCUCAAAUGGGCUUAUAUACCCUUUUUCAAAAAAAAAAAAAA